rnacentral:rRNA from 1 species
GCGCACCAAGUCGUAACAAGGUAACCACUGUGCCAGCAGGCCGCGGGAUUGUGCCAGCAGGCCGCGGGAUUGUGCCAGCAGGCCGCGGUAAUACGGAGGGUGCAAGCGUUACUCGGAAUCACUGGGCGUAAAGAGCGUGUAGGCGGGUAUAUAAGUCAGAAGUGAAAUCCAAUAGCUUAACUAUUGAACUGCUUCUGAAACUGUAUACCUAGAAUGUGGGAGAGGUAGAUGGAAUUUCUGGUGUAGGGGUAAAAUCCGUAGAGAUCAGAAGGAAUACCGAUUGCGAAGGCGAUCUACUGGAACAUUAUUGACGCUGAGACGCGAAAGCGUGGGGAGCAAACAGGAUUAGAUACCCUGGUAGUCCACGCCCUAAACGAUGUACACUAGUUGUUGUGAGGCUCGACCUUGCAGUAAUGCAGUUAACACAUUAAGUGUACCGCCUGGGGAGUACGGUCGCAAGAUUAAAACUCAAAGGAAUAGACGGGGACCCGCACAAGCGGUGGAGCAUGUGGUUUAAUUCGACGAUACACGAAGAACCUUACCUGGACUUGACAUAGUAAGAACUUUCUAGAGAUAGAUUGGUGUCUGCUUGCAGAAACU